rnacentral:misc_RNA from 1 species
UCUCCGUAGGUGAACCUGCGGAGGGAUCAUUACAGAGUUCUCGCCCUCGCGGGUAGAUCUCCCACCCACUGUUAUCGUUACUGUGUUGCUUUGGCGGGCCGCCGGGCCCCGCUCGGCCGCCGGCUCCGGCUGGCGCGCGCCCGCCAGAGGCCCAGCAAACUCUGAAUGUUAGUGUCGUCUGAGUACUAUAUAAUAGUUAAACCUUUCAACAACGGAUCUCUUGGUUCUG